UACGUAGGGGGCAAGCGUUGUCCGGAAUCAUUGGGCGUAAAGAGCGUGUAGGCGGCCAGAAAAGUCCGCUGUGAAAACUCGAGGCUCAACUUCGAGCUGUCGGUGGAAACUUUCUGGCUAGAGUCCGGAAGAGGAGAAUGGAAUUCCUGGUGUAGCGGUGAAAUGCGCAGAUAUCAGGAAGAACACCCGGUGGCGAAGGCGGUUCUCUGG
rnacentral:rRNA from 1 species